CAAUCGCCUGAGGUGUACCCACCCAGUCACCGCUUCAGUAAUCCUUUUCUCAAUGUUGCUUAGCCAGGAAACUUUUGCAAGGAACAGUUUUGCAAGGAACAACAUUGCAUGUAAAUCACAAACAUAUAUCUACUAAAAACUAGUGUUGUUUCCUCCCUGCUCAUUUUGAUUUGCUGUUAGUAUCCAAGUAACAAAGAGAUGUAUGGUCAGUGGCAUUUGGUUAGCCACUGACCCACAACUUGUUUAGUUCUCUGAUCUAAACCCUCUCAGUAGCAUACUCAUCCAGAGGUACACCACAGCUCCAACUUGAGCAAAUGAAACUGAGCUUAUGCUUAAACGAUGGAAUGAGAUGAAAUAAAAGGGAGAGAAGUGAACAUGAGGCUAUAAGAUGAUCCCCAAGUUUCAACUUAGAUGUCUGUUCCUGUUACAUGAGAUCUCCGUAAGUUAUAUAUAUAUGCUACCAACUGUAGAAAACAAGUACUUAUUAUGUUGAAAAAUUCAGUCCAACCAUUCGUGUAUAUGGAUUUUUUAAUGACCAUCAGGCAAGACACUUGCACUGCUGUAUAAUGGUAUCAUGUUUCAGGCAAGGGGCUAGAUCUAACGGCUGCAGGAGGGGACAACACAGACACCAUUUCCUUGCAUCACGAAUAAAUGGGCCAAGGAGACACAAGCAACCCAGAGGCCACACUCGUAUCAAAAAAUAAGACGGUUAGCAGAGGGAAAAGAACUUCAAAAAGGAAACAAAAAUAGGCAAUCCAAAAGGAGAAAAAUGACUGCAUGUCACAAAGCAGUAUAUCACACAUAGAAGAGCAAACAAUAACUGAUCCCGCGGAGAGCAAACAAUAACUGAACAAUAUACACACAUAUAAUAAGGUAGGGUUCACUUCAUAAUAUAGGGGAGUUUUUUUUUUGUUUUGCUUUAACACAGCCACUCGAGCAGUCAAAGACUAUAGUUUUAAAGCAUGCAUAAUAAGAAGCAUUCAGUUACAGGAAAGCGUUCAUGAACCCACACUAGGCCGAGCUCCAAAAAACUCUCGCCGAGGCACUCGACCAGAACCAUCCCCAGGAUGCUCAAGCUCCACCCAGCAAGGGCAGAGCCAUCUUCUACGACCUCACACAGGUGCAAAACGGAUGGCAAAGCGCACUCGGCCACCACAGCCUCCAAAAUGGGAAUACAACCCAAACAAACGCACACAUCUUGCUGGCAUGCAAGAACGAAAUAUAUAAUAAAGUACACGACACCCGGCCAUGUCCAGAACAUACACUAAAACGAUUAGGAGGCUAUAGAACAUGAAAGCACACACAGAAAGUAGAGCAGCAAGACAGACAGAGAUCACAACAGCAAACCUUGACGCGGCCCAACAAGCAGAAUGAAGAUGCGGCGAUGAGCUAAACGGAGAUUCUGCACCAAAUCAGCAAGAUGGAACAACAUGUAAAAUAGAAAGGGAAACAAUCAAUAUAGAACAACGGCAUGCAAAUGCAACUAUAUAGGAACUAUAAAAAACAAACCAAGUGUACCGAAAGAUAAAAAGAUCACACGCCAUCGUCAAAUAACCAGUCCAUAAAGAUCAUUAGUACAUAAGAGAUCAGAACACAGGAGAAAGCAACGAGCACUGAAAGCACACUGUGCUGCAACGGUAUUCCAAAAGAGGCGCAACGAUCGAAACAAAAGCAUCAGCGUCAGCAUAUCCUCAAUCCUCGUGCAUUUCAUCAAACACCUAACAGGCAUGCACCGAUAGAGAAGCAGAGGAGGCGCGCACUAACCUGGACAGCAAGGACAGAAUGACCCAGGCUCCUACGAAGGAGCCAACGCGAAAUCCAACAAAGCU
rnacentral:lncRNA from 1 species